rnacentral:rRNA from 1 species
CGGACGGGUGAGUAACGCGUGAGAAUCUGGCUUCAGGUCUGGGACAACCACUGGAAACGGUGGCUAAUACCGGAUGUGCCGAAAGGUGAAAGGUUAACUGCCUGAAGAUGAGCUCGCGUCUGAUUAGCUAGUUGGAAGUGUAAUGGACUCCCAAGGCGACGAUCAGUAGCUGGUCUGAGAGGACGAUCAGCCACACUGGGACUGAGACACGGCCCAGACUCCUACGGGAGGCAGCAGUGGGGAAUUUUCCGCAAUGGGCGAAAGCCUGACGGAGCAAUACCGCGUGAGGGAGGAAGGCUCUUGGGUCGUAAACCUCUUUUCUCAGGGAAGAACACAAUGACGGUACCUGAGGAAUAAGCAUCGGCUAACUCCGUGCCAGCAGCCGCGGUAAUACGGAGGAUGCAAGCGUUAUCCGGAAUGAUUGGGCGUAAAGCGUCCGCAGGUGGCAAUGUAAGUCUGCUGUUAAAGAGUCUAGCUCAACUAGAUAAGAGCAGUGGAAACUACAUAGCUAGAGUACGUUCGGGGCAGAGGGAAUUCCUGGUGUAGCGGUGAAAUGCGUAGAGAUCAGGAAGAACACCAGUGGCGAAGGCGCUCUGCUAGGCCGUAACUGACACUGAGGGACGAAAGCUAGGGGAGCGAAUGGGAUUAGAUACCCCAGUAGUC